AUCAUACCGGCCACGUAUAGUACCUCACCGCACUGGGAGAGGGGUCAGUUAUAUCACACCGGGUCCAGGCCGAUCAUACCGGCCACGUAUAGUACCUCACCACACUGGGAGACGGGUCAGUUAUAUCACACCGGGUCCAGGCCGAUCAUACCGGCCACGUAUAGUACCUCACCACACUGGGGGAGGGGUCAGUUAUAUCACACCGGGUCCAGGCCGAUCAUACCGGCCACGUAUAGUACCUCACCACACUGGGGGAGGGUCAGUUAUAUCACACCGGGUCCAGGCCGAUCAUACCGGCCACGUAUAGUACCUCACCACACUGGGGGAGGGGUCAGUUAUAUCACACCGGGUCCAGGCCGAUCAUACCGGCCAC